rnacentral:lncRNA from 1 species
ACUACCCGCGCGAAACAGAUACAUUUAACUCCAUAUAAUCACAUCCAAACACACAAUCCAACUCUACUAUCUCAAUUUCUACUCAACGUUUCGAAACUUCAAAUUAGUUUAAAAAAUUAAUUUGAAAUUACCUUCAAUUGGUUCAUCCAUGUGCACGCGUUCCUUGGUUGAACUAGUUUGUGGGUCCUACAAAUCGAUUGUGCACAGUUAGGGUCUAAAAGAAUUUUGAGUGUGCGACUCUCUCUGUCGUGAGGGUUUGGGGUUUCAAUUUCGGGGAAUCCCAUUUAACUUGUGGAGAAAAGAAUUGGCUAAAUUGAAAAGGAAAAUCGUGUUUCU